AUUUGCGUGUAAGGACUCCAAGAAACUAUGCUGAGAAUCUACAUGAACAGAUUACUCACAGUUCGCGCGCGCGGACACAAAGCAAUUGUGCUAACAAUUCUGCAAAUGAUCAGAAUGGCCAAGAUCGUAACAGCCAAUUCACUGGAGAUUUCUUACAUGACAAUGAAGAUUUGCAAAGGAGUUCACAAAAGAAGAGCAAAGGAAGGGGUAUAACUAGAAUGGAUGAAAUAUUUGCAAGGACACCUAACAUGCCAAAGAUCAAAAUAACACUCAAUCAAUAUGGCCAGCCUGUAGGAAAGAAUUCAAGGAAGUUUUCUAGAGUCCUUGGUUGUCAAGUGAGAAGGAAAAUAUCAGUUGGGUGUUCUGAUUGGAGGCUUGUUAAACCUGAGAAGAAGUAUGAAGUAUGGACUGAUAUAAAGGCAAUCUAUGAUAUCGACGAUGCUGCUUUUGAUUGGUUUAUGAGUACUUGUG